ACGCACGCUGGCGGCAUGCCUAAUACCUGCAAGUAGAACGCUGAAGGAGGAGCUUGCUUCUCUGGAUGAGUUGCGAACGGGUGAGUAGCGCGUAGGUAACCUGCCUGGUAGCGGGGGAUAACUAUUGGAAACGAUAGCUAAUACCGCAUAAUAGUAGAUGUUGCAUGACAUUUGCUUAAAAGGUGCAAUUGCAUCACUACCAGAUGGACCUGCGUUGUAUUAGCUAGUUGGUGGGGUAACGGCUCACCAAGGCGACGAUACAUAGCCGACCUGAGAGGGUGAUCGGCCACACUGGGACUGAGACACGGCCCAGACUCCUACGGGAGGCAGCAGUAGGGAAUCUUCGGCAAUGGACGGAAGUCUGACCGAGCAACGCCGCGUGAGUGAAGAAGGUUUUCGGAUCGUAAAGCUCUGUUGUAAGAGAAGAACGAGUGUGAGAGUGGAAAGUUCACACUGUGACGGUAUCUUACCAGAAAGGGACGGCUAACUACGUG
rnacentral:rRNA from 1 species